UACGUAGGCCCCGAGCGUUGUCCGGAUUUAUUGGGCGUAAAGCGAGCGCAGGUGGUUUAUUAAGUUUGGUGUAAAAGGCAGUGGCUCAACCAUUGUAUGCAUUGGAAACUGGUAGACUUGAGUGCAGGAGAGGAGAGUGGAAUUCCAUGUGUAGCGGUGAAAUGCGUAGAUAUAUGGAGGAACACCGGUGGCGAAAGCGGCUCUCUGGCCUGUAACUGACACUGAGGCUCGAAAGCGUGGGGAGCAAACAGG
rnacentral:rRNA from 1 species